AAGUCGUAACAAGGUAACCGUAGGUGAACCUGCGGUUGGAUCAUUAACACAAAGUCGGUGCUGCCAAGUUCCUGGCAAGUCUUUCGGGAUUUGCCAGAAACUUGGAUGUGCAUCACAACCACACCUUUUUGUGCACACUGUAUUUUCAUUCUUUUCAGCAGGUGUCUCGAUGGUUUGAACAUUUUCGGAUGUUUGACACCUUCGAAAUACCUGGUGAGAGGUUUGAAAGUAUAUCAACCAAACCUAAGUGUAUCUUAUGUCUGAACUUUUUGUAUAAAAACAAUUUACAAAACAA
rnacentral:misc_RNA from 1 species